GACGAACGCUGGCGGCGUGCUUAACACAUGCAAGUCGAACGGAAAGGCCCUGCUUGCAGGGUGCUCGAGUGGCGAACGGGUGAGUAACACGUGGGUGAUCUGCCCCUUACUUUGGGAUAAGCCUGGGAAACUGGGUCUAAUACUGGAUAGGACCAUGCUGUAGGUGGUGUGGUGGAAAGAUUAGUUUCGGUAAGGGAUGAGCUCGCGGCCUAUCAGCUUGUUGGUGGGGUAAUGGCCUACCAAGGCGUCGACGGGUAGCCGGCCUGAGAGGGUGGACGGCCAAAUGGGGACGGAGAAACGGCCCAGACCCCAAGGGGGGGCAGAAGGGGGGAAAUUGGAACAAUGGGGGAAAGCCUAAGGCGGGGACGCCGGGUGGGGGAGGGCGGCCUUCGGGUUGUAAACCCCUUUAGCCCAUGACGAAGCCCUUGUGGGGACGGUGGGUGUAGAAGAAGCCCCGGCAAAUUAGGU
rnacentral:rRNA from 1 species